AUGGGUACCUUAAAGGGAUAUUAUAUAACGUUAAUUUACAAAUACUGAUUGUUCCUUAUGUCCUCUGUGCAGAUGGAAAUAGGCAUCCUUUAUACCUAGAUAAGAAAGCUCCUUAUGCAAUCUUUAAGGGAAUUACAUGCCAAAUUAUAGGCCUUUUCAUUUCCCAUACAUUAGUUUGGUCACACUGUGGUAUAAGUACAGUUGAGAGUCUGUUUCUCUUCUGUCCUCAUAGCAUGUAAACAGUUGGGAAAAGGUGACAGAGUAUAUUUUAGAAAGUUUGUACCAGUUUGAAAGUCAGGAGGAUUUUAAUGAAAAUGAUUUAUUUUACUUUUCUUUUCAGGACCUGUAGAUGAAUACAUGUUGCCAUUUGAGGAGGAAAUUGGCCAGCAUCCAUCUCUUGAAGACAUGCAGGAAGUUGUUGUGCAUAAAAAAAAGAGGCCUGUUUUAAGAGAUUAUUGGCAGAAACAUGCUGGAAUGGCAAUGCUCUGUGAAACCAUUGAAGAAUGUUGGGAUCACGACGCAGAAGCCAGGUUAUCAGCUGGAUGUGUAGGUGAAAGAAUUACCCAGAUGCAGAGACUAACAAAUAUUAUUACCACAGAGGACAUUGUAACAGUGGUCACAAUGGUGACAAAUGUUGACUUUCCUCCCAAAGAAUCUAGUCUAUGAUGGUUGCGCCAUCUGUGCACACUAAGAAAUGGGACUCUGAACUGGAGCUGCUAAGCUAAAGAAACUGCUUACAGUUUAUUUUCUGUGUAAAAUGAGUAGGAUGUCUCUUGGAAAUGUUAAGAAAGAAGACCCUUUGUUGAAAAAUGUUGCUCUGGGAGACUUACUGCAUUGCCGACAGCACAGAUGUGAAGGACAUGAGACUAAGAGAAACCUUGCAAACUCUAUAAAGA
rnacentral:sRNA from 1 species